rnacentral:piRNA from 1 species
UGUUAUGUAAACCAUUGUAAUUGAAAAGCCA